rnacentral:rRNA from 1 species
AGCGAACGCUGGCGGCAGGCCUAACACAUGCAAGUCGAGCGCCGUAGCAAUACGGAGCGGCAGACGGGAGAGUAACACGUGGGAACGUGCCCUUCAGUUCGGAACAACCCAGGGAAACUUGGGCUAAUACCGGAUACGUCCGUAAGGAGACAGCUUUAUCGCUGAAGGAUCGGCCCGCGUCUGAUUAGCUUGUUGGUGAGGUAACGGCUCACCAAGGCGACGAUCAGUAGCUGGUCUGAGAGGAUGAUCAGGCUCACUGGGACUGAGACACGGCCCAGACUCCUACGGGAGACAGCAGUGGGGAAUAUUGGACAAUGGGCGCAAGCCUGAUCCAGCCAUGCCGCGUGGAGGAUGAAGGCCCUAGGGUUGUAAAGUCCUUUCGGCGGGGAAGAUAAUGACGGUACCCGCAGAAGAAGCCCCGGCUAACUUCGUGCCAGCCGCCGCAGUAA